rnacentral:rRNA from 1 species
UACAGAGGUCUCAAGCGUUGUUCGGAAUUACUGGGCGUAAAGGGUGCGUAGGCUGCGCAGAAAGUCAGGUGUGAAAUCCGGGAGCUCAACUUCCGAAUGGCACCCGAUACUCCUGUGCUAGAGGAUUGGAGAGGAGCGUGGAAUUCUCGGUGUAGCAGUGAAAUGCGUAGAGAUCGAGAGGAACACUAGUGGCGAAGGCUGGGCUCUGGACAAUAUCUGACGCUGAGGCACGAAGGUCAGGGGAGCAAACGGG